AUAUACCCUGUAGUGUGUCAGCCUCACUUUAAAAUACUUUAAAUUCAGCUCCUGAAUUUCAAAGAUCGAUGCCUCAUAUAACUGUAGAAAUAUGUUGAUUCCGGGGCUUUUCCUCAGACCUAUAGUCUGUGGCAGGGGAGGAUGAGGCUUCUGCAGGUUUAAUAUGUCCCGUGGGUGCUGAUGCCAACACCUAUGGAGAUGAUGGGUCUAGCUUGUAAGUCCGGACUUUUGUAUUUACAAAGAAUCCCAAAGUUUAUGUGAAUGAGCACAGAGGGUUGAAAACUUCUGAGAAUUGAUAAAGGACAAGUGUAGAACACUCAAUUUUGAUUUGCUGCUGAAUUGUUUAUUAAUGCGGAGAAGGACAGGCAACAUAUUAACCAGGUUUAGAGUAAUUAUUAGUGAAGGAUGGAGGGAAGCAGACGAACAGAAGACUGAACAUUACAAUUUCUCAACCGAAAAAAAGGUUCACAGUGGUAUUUCAAUGACCUCAAUUCUUUGCCCUGGCUUCUCUUUAGAACCUUCCAAGAGUAAGCUUUUAAAAGUUACCAAAUCCUGGGCCCUGCUCCAUAUCAAUUAAAUCAGAAUCUAUGGGGGCAGGGGAUGGGGUGUUUAUUUUACCAGCUCCUGAGGUGACUUUCAUGUGCCACCAGCUUCAGCACCAUUGCUCUGUGACAUAUGAGAAGUUGUUUGAGUCACCUGCUAUUGUUGACAUCAUAAGCAGGGCUUGUUUGCCUCCAGAUCCUUGGAGGCCAGGAAAUGAAUGUUUGGCACUGUCCUUUUAUCUCUUGUUCCACCUCUUAAACCGCUGUGAUUAGGAUUCGCUGUUUUGUUUAAAGCGGUUGCCACCUGUUUUCUCGCCAUCAUUUGUAGCAGUAUAUUGCUUAGAGCCAAAGCCAGAAAGUUAUAUAACUUCUAAAUGUGCUAGUUAUAAUGGGGGAGGGGGAUGGGACUAGUAUUUGUGGAAUUUUGUGGCCUGUUGCUUGGCAACUUUAAGAGAGUUAAGCUUCUGCCUUCUGUGAACUGUCAGAGUUACAUAGUUUGGUGAGCCCGGUCAGUUACUUCUUGCUACAGAAAGGAAAUUAAUUCUUCAUCAUGGAGAGGGCUUGAAAAGUCAUCAUUCAGAGCAGGCCAUCUUUAGCCAUGUCACACUUCUUCUACUUGACGCCACAAAUUCUUCUGCCCUUCAGCCCUCUUACUUCUCAGGAGUUUGAUGUGAUCAGACAUAAGGCUGGAGCAUCGUGGCAGAAUGAAGCAAGAUGGUCAGAUUCUUCUGUAACAACAUAUUCGGGCAGUUACCGGAAAAAACAACUGGGUGAUUCCACGUGUGGCCGACUUUCUCUUAAAGCAGGACAGCACUGGCCUGAGUGUAACCAGAUGUCACUGCCAAACUACUUCACCUGCAGGGCGGCUCUCCACAAGACCGCGGACAUUAAAGGACUAUUUCCUUCUAUAAGCGGUCCCUUUAAAAAUUCAUUUGAUAUCAAGCAUGGAGUGGCACACCAAAUUCUUUCUGGAGAUUUUUCUCCAGCACCUCCAAAUUACGAAAGACCAUAUGGGAGAAUUAAAAAGCUAACAUCCAUGGACCUGAAGAAGUACAGUCGACUAAGGAGAGACUUCCUCAAGCAUUUUCAGGAACCGUGUGAUUCUACAAGCAAGGCUAGCUCAUCUGAAGACUCACAAGCGGAUCAAUACUCCGUUUAUAGUCUGGGAGGGCCGUUCUCGACAUUUGGCUGAGUCGGAAAACGAAGCCACAGAGCUGGAGGCCCAGAGCCUGCUUAAUUACCGCCUUUGAGGGAUCUAUGAAGAACAUGUGACUGGAAAUGUCAGAUCUCACAAGGGCCACACCAGGGAGAUGCCAAUUCCAGCUCUUGGGAAGGCAUGAGGCACAUCUGCAUGAAGACGCGAGGGAAGAGGAGCGGGGGAGAAAGAGAAGAAGUCACUGAAGAAACACCAAAGGGAGGACAGUUCUUCAGCAUGAAGGAAGCUCAGCACUUCAUUCAUAGGCUUGCCUUGGGAACUUCUUCUACACAGAUUACAGGCAGACCUCAGGGACACUGCAGGUUCACUGCCAGACCACACCCAGAAGGCAAAUACUGCAAUAAGGUGAGUCACGUGGAUUUUUGGUGUCCCUGUGCACACAGAAGUUAUGUUUGCACACACUGUAGUCUAUUAAGUGUGCCAUGGCAGUAUGUGUUAAAAAACAAUGCACAUAAAUUUAAAAAUACCUUAUGGCUAAUAAUUCUAACCAGCACCUGAGCCUUCAGCAAGGUGUAAUUUCUUUGCAAUAGUAACAUCAAAGAUCACUGAUCACAGGACCACCAUAACAAAUAGAAUAAUAAUGAAUAAGGUGAAAAUAUGGCAAGAAUUACCAAAAUGGGACCCAGAAGCAGAAAGUGGGCAAAUGCUGUUGGAAAAAUGGUACCAAUAGGCUCGCUUGGUACAGGGUUCUACAACCUUCAAUUUGUAGAAAAACAAAAUCUGCAAAGCAAAAUAAGGUAAAAUGCAAUAAAACAAGGCAUGCCUGUAUUUAUGUAAGUCAGUAGACUCUAAGGUCAGGCAAAGGGCACGGUUAAGUAGUUUUCUUACUCAGCACACACACAUGAGUGUAGAAGUGCUUGCACACAUCUAUUCAUUUACGGGAUGAAGGCUUACUCCCCACCCACACUAUGCAGCCACUGGUCUGGGCACUGGAAAUACAGCAGCACCUCACAUAAGCUCCUUAUUCACAGGAAUGUGUAUUGUUGUCUGUGUUACACAGCAUAUGUAUCUUCUACAGCAUAUAUAUCCUAACUUUGCAAUUACACAGUUUGUUUGUGUUGUCGUGUUGGGGUUUUUUUUUGGCCACACCCACAGCACAUGGGAGCUACCAGGCCAAGGACUGAACCUGAGCCACAGCUGUGGCAAUGCCAGAUCCUUAACCCACUCUGCCACCAGGGAACUUCCUACAGUUUGUUAAUUAUAGAUUGAGAUGCACAUAUUUGAGGUCAAAUCCAAACUACCUCAAAGGAGCAGCUAAAUACAAGAAACCCUCACUGUGAGACUGUCAGCUUAUCACGGAGGACAGCAAACUAUAAUCCUUGGGCCAAAUCUAAUCUCAUGUUGUUGUAAAUAAAGUUUUAGUGGGACACCGCCAACCCCAUUUAUCUAUGGGCUACUUCUGAAUUCCAAUGGCAGCUGACUAGUAGUGACAAAAGCUGUAUGGCCUGAAAGCCUAAGAUAGUAAUGAACUGGCCCUUAAAAAAACAACAACAAAAAAACCCACCUUGCUAGCACCCCUGGCUUCCAAAAUAGGAUACCGUCUUACUCCCUAAGAGCAGAGCUAAAGGCUUCCACUGUGUUAAAAAAAGGAACUCUACAAUGCAUUUCACUCUUGGCUCUCUGUGCUGAAAACAAGAAGGUUCUUCCCAGCCGGACCAGGGGCCCCACCAUCUCAGCGGGGGUACGAGAUCUUCGCCGUGUCCCCUGUGGCCAUGGGGAGGUGAGUGAAUCUGCACUGAUAACGAGUGAAUGUCAAGUUUCCAGUGAUGACAGUUUGGCAAUGCCAAGUCUGACUUCUUUCCAGCUGUCAAGGUUUCUAUGGUUUCCUUGGGGUGGGGUGGGGCGGAGCUGGCUGUGGAGCUGGGAGACAGGAGGAAGGUUCUAGCCUGGGUUUGGGCAUACUUCAGGGUAAGGAGGGCUAGAAGACAGGGAGUAUAACAGAAAAGAGAGAGAGAAAAGGAAGAUCUGAAAAGCCUGCUGCACUGGAAGUGAGGCUGGCCUUUCCCAACAACGGCCACUCCAGAAAUGCUGACUUUAAUUUGUCUUCGAUGUGGGGUCCCCAGCUCACCUGCUGCUAAGGUGCUAAUGUGGUUAUGGUCAGACGACUGACUGUAAAAACGGCCCCUUUUCACUCAGCAUAACAGCUCUCUGCAGACCUGUGAGUCAUGGCUACUCAACUUAGUGACAAAAGCCAGUCUUUAUUGCUGUUGGCAUCACGGAGCCAAAGCGGCUGGUUAAAGCACGGAGAGUGGCUUCUGGGCCGUGCAUGUUGUCAACACGGCUGGCAGGGCAAUUCCACUUCCUGAGUCCUUUGAGCGCCGAGGAGGCGAGGGGCUGAGAGCUGACCUGACGCCCGGGGCCGGCAGUCAGCACCGCCGGCUCGUGACCUGUAAGCAAAAAGCAGGGGGGCGCUCCUCUUCGUUGUCGCUUAAUGACUCCCCGCUGGUGUCACUUAUAACCAUCUCGUGGGAGAGGAGGACUGUGUGGUGAAGCCAGGGUGUCCCCAUCAUGAAGUGGAAGAAGUUAACCAGCAUGGCAAGAGUAAAGGCUUAAGCUAGAGGCCCUUUCCUUUACUUAGUCUUGGCUGCAGCCCAGAGAGGGACUAUUUUGGAAGAAGCAGGUUUUCUGCGCCAUGCAUCAUUCUGGACGGUGUCAGGGCUGCAGGUUCAGGGAGGAGGAGCAGAGCUUGCCCUCCCGCUCUAAACAGCAAGGUGCAUACCUCUGCCCAGGAUUGCGUGGGGUGGUUGGAGCAGCAGUGACAGAGAGGAGGUGCCAGCAUGAAACUGUCUCAUUCCAAGUUUCUGGACUCACACCCUGGUUGGGGACCUUGGACAGAACUCCUGACCUCUGUGAAGCCUCAGUUGCUCCACCUGUGUAGUACGCCUACCACAGUAUCAACCACAGAGUGGUGCUUUAAGACUUACAUGAGAUGCAGGGUGCAAAGGGGCAAGCCUGGGGCGUGGCGCAGGCUCGAUGACUGUUAACUAUGAUGACGAGGACAACCAGCAUGAGGAACAAGCCAAGAGCCCACACCUCUCCCCUGCAUGUGAGCCUGUGAAUCUGUCAGAUCAGCCAGGCACAAGCCAGGCCAGGCCAUGGUGCUGUGGCCACCGGGGAUGUGGCUCAGCAGCCCUGGGCAAGCACCUCCUUCUGUUAAGGAAACAUCCGUGUGGCAUGGCCGGCAGAUGCCCCGGCUGUGGG